AGUUUGAUCUCAGACUGCUGUGCUAGCAAUCAGCGAGACUCCGUGGGCGUAGGACCCUCCGAGCCAGAUGAAGAUCCUGAAUACCAAAGAGGGCCGCUGACAGGUCUAGGAGUACACUUCUAGCACCUAGCAGAGAGAGGCUUCACUACAUCAUGCUUCCUGACAUCUCUCCCUUUGAAGAGCAGUCAGACUCCUGCUUUGCUCUUCAGACUUAAUUUGGGGGUUUAACAGCCAUGUGAAGUGCUCACUCCCCCUUUGCCUUCUGCCAUGAUUGUGUGUUUCCUGAGGCCUCCCCAGAAGCUGAGAAGAUGCUUCCUGUACAGCCUGCAGAACUGGAUAGCCCAGAGCUAUUCCAUGUAUUCCAUGGAUGGGCACAUUUGGAAGUUUGGUUCUAAAAUCUAAAAGAAGAAAUUUAAGUGUGCUGAAGAUAACUGCAACUCCAAACCUAACGCUGUGUAAUUCUAUGUUCUGCCAUUUUGAAGCAAAGUGGAACCAGAAGUGAGAGGACUAUUUCUAGGUCAUGCUACGGUUACCCUGACCCCAGUCACUCCCUAUGCUGGUCCAUCCAAACUCAGAGCCACGA
rnacentral:lncRNA from 1 species